CUGCUAGAUUCAUAAUAAGUUAUUACUAUGGUUAAAUCAGUCACAAUGCUGCCCAGUUUAAUAAAGGAAAGAGGCAAAGGAGAGAGAGGAGUGAGCCAGUUCUUCUGGAUGAAAGAGCCCAAAAUUCCUGGCGGCGCCCCUGUUUACAGUAUUGCGAUGGGAGGGAAGGGUAUCAGGUGUCACGGCCGUUUCCUUUAGGCACUUUUAAAGUCUACAUUAAUCACUCUGGCCCCGAGUCUCCCAUCCCACCCUGCUCCCACCACAGGACACGAGGAUGUGCGAAACACAACACUGCUACCAUACCCCGGGGCUACGCAUGUACACACACACACACACACACACUCCUACACUUGUACACACUGCAUUAGAUGUAUUGAUAGCUUCUGAGGCACGAGCGGCGCUGUGAUGCUCUGACAUAUGGAGGGUUAAAGGCUUCUUAAAUGUCCGUAUCAAUCUGCACGCCUGUCACCUCGACAAUGACGGAAACAGAACACCGCUAACAGCGGCAGGCGCUAACAUCCUCAUCUGUGCAACAUAAGAGAAAUAGGUGGCUCUCUGCAGGACAUUCCUCUGGACGUUAGCCAAGUCAACGCACAGAGGGUAAAUUAUGGCUCUGGUUUGGUUGCAAGAGAAAAAUGACGUAACUCUGGUUUAUUUUCUAACCUCGUCAGAGCGUUGGUUGGGUUCGUGUUUGGUGCAAAUGUCAGAAAUAUUAUAUCCCUUUUUAAAAUGGAUCUGAUUGCACUGAUUUCAUUGUUCUGUGUCUUCCUUGGUAACGCGUAUACGCUUGUGACUGUGCAAGGUGAUUGUCCUCUUCCUGCUGCACGCAAAGCAUUGUACUCUGCCCUCCUGGGAUGGGAGACGUUUUGUUUUUUGAGCUCUUUCACACCGGCUCUCCCGCUUUUUCUUUUUCCCCCUUUUUUUUUUUUUUUUUUUUUAAACACAAUAGCCUCCUCUCCUCUCGCCCAGCGUGGCAACCCUUUCAAACGGGGGAAGCUCCAGGUCAGUUUCCCUUGCCAAGUUUUGCAGCCUGCCAUGUUGUCUAUUCUGCUCAGCUAUUUAAAAAAUGUUGAAUAUCAACAAUGGCUUUCACUGGUGCAUUGUCAACUUUUGUAUGAAGCAAUCUUGGCUGAAUGAGAUGGGUCCCAGAGCAGGGAGAGCUCAGCCGCAGUGUGCGCCACCGUACCAGUGGCUGCCCAGCUCUCUCGCGGGUUAUGUUUCUCUACAGUUCCGCCCGCGGUGGAGGUUCGAACGGCCGCGGGCUGCGGACGUCCCCGGCCGUCUCGCUCUCCGCGGCGCUGCUCCGGAGGGGCCUGCUGACAGUCAGCUGUUGAAGGUGUGUCUAGCAGAGGGACUGGGAAGCAGCAGCAGCAGCAGCAGCAGCAGCCUUGGGACCAGUGAGAGCUCGGUUUGAGUGACAGCCGCCUCUCUCUGCGGCUGAGCGUCGGCGUCAAGGAUGACAGUCAGAGAUGAUCACCGGGGUCGCGUCUGAACGUGCGGAACUUGAAGCGAUCUUCACUCGUCUCUGCCGAGCGCCAGCCUGUCUCCAGCGGUAAUUGCCCUUUAAGGUUUGGGCCUGAAAGACGUGCCAGACCUGCUGCCAAAGCAUCAGCCUCCACCUCACCCUGCAGACAUGGCUGAACACACGCAUGCAUGCACACACACACACGCACGCACGCACACACACACACACUGACACAGCGCAAAAAUCAUGCAUAUCUUUUAUUUGUGUUGUCAAGCAUGUAAGCAUACGCUGCUUUCUCUUACUUCCAUAUGACACCCUGCACACUUACACACACACACGCACGCACGCACACUCACACACACAUUCUUGCCAUCUCUGCGCUCGAUCUCCGAUGAUGGAGUCGUUGCACACUUUCAUGCCGCAUGUCAGACCUAGACACGAUUGCGACACAUUCACACGGUCUUCAGCAGCACAAACAUAAACACACACACACACACACACACACGCUUCAGAUUUGUCAGUUGUCUCUCAGGCAUGCCCUAUUUUUAAAACGGUAAGCACACCUACACACAUUCUCCCAUGCUCGGGGCACACCCAUCGCGGCCCAUGUCAUAGUCUGUCGUCCUCUCUCCAGCCGCCUGCUCAGUUGCAGGGGAGAGAAAUUAGUCAGGUGCAGUAAAUCUCGACACCUGACACUAGUGGUCUCUCUUUAAAGUUGUUUUCACCGCCGCCCCCGCACUUAAUGGCAGAGUACCUACCGAUUAUUGCAUGUUCUGAGCUAGUCUGGUAAUUGCAUGGUACAUACCUGUCCAGGGUGUAAGCCCAUCCGCUGAACAUGGGGCCCCUGUGUUAAACGGCUCACUUUAUUGUCGUAACAGGGAGAGGGACCCUCCUAUCUGUCAUUCAGCGUCAGCCAUUGUCAGGGUGCACCCCACCACCACCACCACCACCACCACCCCUA